UCUUAGCCAUUAUCUAUAAAUCAAAGCAUGCUAAUAAUUUCCAUUGCUUUACUUUUUAAAUGACAUUAACCCUUUUCAUUUAGAAUGUUCUAGAAGCACAAUUAAGCCAAGAAAGUUUUCAGAUAUAUGGCUGUAUAGUAUGGCUGUUUAUACUGUAUGACCUUCACUGAGGAGGUUGACAUAAAAUACAAACACUUAAAAAUUGAAAAACACAAAAAAUAGGUUAGCACUAUCAAGCAGCAAUCAGAAAAAGCCCACAGGGUUCCUGGACAUGAAAAGGCAGAUUCCAUAGGGUUUUCGAGAGGCCUAGAUUAAUUUUUCCACAAAUGAGAGCAUGUGGAGGAAGGUAAUGAUAAUGGUGCUCACACUUGUGAUUCCCAUACCAGUUUUUGUCCCUAUAGGCUUACUGUAGGAGGUGUUCCCUACAGCCACCUAGGAAGUUGAUGACCUACGCUCUUACUUCUGCUUGCCAGGAGUAACUGAAAGCAAACACCACAGUCUGUUGUUUAUUAGCUUUUAAAGAUCAAAUCAACUGUUAGACUAACACGACUUCAUUCAAGAAAGCUGACUGCCAACCCUGCAGGGAGACUACUAAGUAAAUCUAGAGGAGAUAAGACAGAGUGGGAGUUUGCCUAAGUAAUCUCAGGGGAACAGUGAGCCAGGAAGUGACAUCAGAAGAGGCAAGCAGAACAUAAGUUUUCUCAGAAUAUUGACUGAUGAUGAACAAGCCAAUGAUGUGAGUGUGGCUGCAGCAAGGACCCUUCAAAUUUUCAGAGUUUUGUAGGUCAGAAGUCUGCACAGUUCUGCUGGGUUCCCUCCUCAAGUUCUCAACGGUCUGAAAUCAAGGAGUCUGCUGCUGGCUUUUAUCAGGAGCAUCUGGGGAAGAAUCUGCUUCAAGCUCAUCCAGGCUGUUGGCAGGAAUCCAGUCCUGUGAGGUUUCAGGUACCCACUGCCUUGCAGGGUAGUGGCUGCUUACUGCUUGCAGAAGCUCCUACAUUCCUUUUCACAUGGCCCUUCUGAUUUUCAAACCAGCAUUGAAGCACUGAGUUCUUUUCGCACUUCACAUUUCUCUGGCUUCCCGUUCCAUCAUCUGCUGAGAAGGCUCUCUGCCUUCACAGGCUCAUGUGAUUAGCUCAGGCCCACCCAGGAAAACCUCCCUAACUUAAGGUCAACUGUGCUAUGUAACAGAACAAUCAUGCGAGAGCUAUCUUGUCAUAUACGUGGGUUCUACAGAUCAGGUGAGGACUUUUGGGGAGGCAUUUUAGAAAUUCCAACUAUCACAAGGAUCUCCCUUAAAAAAAAAAUGGUUUAAUUUAUCUGUAACAUCCUAAAAGAAACAUCCAUAGCACAUGGCCUCUCAGCUGCACUAGGUGAUUACAUACAUUCAGAAUCAGGGCAAUACCAAAAGUGCUGUCUUAUGCAGGGAAAAAAACAGGCGUCCAUGUGACCUGGUAUACAUAUGUGUAAGAGAGUAUACUUCCAAGGAAAAAUUAACUUUUAAAAGCAAGUAUUAAAUCACAUAUGUCUUCAUCAUAUUAUAUGUCUUGAUUUGUCUUUACUGACUACUUAAUACAUAUAGAACAAAAAGUUAAACAUAGUCAAAUACAGUAUUUACAUUCAGUUCAUAUUAUAAAUAUUUCUGAAAAAUCUCAUAUGCCAGAUUGUGACUACCCUAUCAAUUUAAGGCAUGUAAAAAUGAUAUCAUGUAACAUCAUCUCACAUAUUGCAGCACAUAUCACUAUAUUUUAAAAGAAAAACCAUUAAGUUCAUUAAAUGAUAGACUCAUCUUUUGUUGUCUCUAUUGUGCUACCUAAUAUUAUUAGAAUUUUAAAGCUCUUAGCAUCUAUGCAGACCUGCACCUCCCUUUUGUGAAUAUUCCCAGCUUCUGAAGAAUUUCUGAUCUUUUGGAAACUCACAAAAUGCACUCAUUGUAGAAGGAAAUAUAUGGAUAUACUAAGGCCUCCAUAAAAUACCUAAGGCAAGCCAUUUUAUAUGUAUAAUUCAUAAACUCUUGUGAUUCAUAAAUGCAUUUGCAGCCUCCGGCAUAUUUUCCAUCGAGCCUUUCACAUGCUGUGUACUAUAUAGGAUGAAAAUGACCAACAGGGGAAUGAGGAGCUCUAAAACUUGUGUGGCUCUAGCACAUGGGUCACAUUUCUCACAUUUAAUAUCUAUAUUUACUUUCCCCAUAGCUUGGAGUUUUAGGUUCACACAGAUGUGUAUGGGCAUCUGAAACUAUGAAAUACAUUCAGAUGAUUUUAAAAAAAAACACAGCCUCAAUGAACACCUAAGAAGCCUGAUCAGUCCCUCCAAAAUAUUGUUAGAAUACAGCAUAGAGUAUAUCGUAAAUUUUAAAAGUCCUUAUUUAGGCCUUAAAUCCCACUGUUUGAGUUUCACUCCAUUUCUCUAAUUGAGAUUCCAGGUCUCUCCCCACUAGCCUGUCAUGAUGUUACUGACCACCAUUAUACCUAUUUAGGAAGUAAGCUUUCCAUGAAGCCUGGGAAGAGACGGGUUUUUUCAUAUGGUAAAUGUCACAGUCCAGCAGCCUGUUUGGGUAGCAGUAACUUUAUUUUUAUUUGGACUAGGCUGUGAAUCAAAACUUUUACAAAGGAAUUAGUGAGGCUCUCCAGACCUCACAUUUCAUGAGGAAAUAAAUAUUAAUACUUGGGACCUAAGUAACAUAGGGUAGAACUUUUUAUUUCUAGUAGAUUCCACAGGCUUUUUCUCUUUUGAUUCCCACAAAAACAAAAAUAUUAACUCACAUAUUUUGGAGUGACCAAUAUACUAGCAAAUUGCAAUAAACAGGAAUCUGAAUUGACUUGGGAAGAUCUAUGGUUAGCCUUCAUGUUAGAAAUAAGAUUCUCAAGUGUGUGUGGCCUCUGACUCCUUUCCAGAUGGCUAAAUGGGAUAGGAGCGGAGAGAUCAAAUCUCAGGCAGCAGCAUUCAUUCCCUGCAUUUACAUUAAGCACCUGUAUGUGCCCAGCCUUGUGAGUAGUACUUACAGGAAUAAAAUCGACAAUUACAGAAUCUAAGACAUGGCUCUUUGAUCUCAAAGAGCUCUUCUCUGAGGAGGUAAAAUAUGCACACUCAUAAAACAGAGUGUAAUUCAAGAAAGUUGGCCGGGCACGGUGGCUCAUGCGUGUAAUACCAGCACUUUGGGA
rnacentral:lncRNA from 1 species